AGGCUAAAGGUGGAUGCCUUGACACGAAAAGGCGAUGAAGGACGCGGUAAGGCGGCGAUAUGCUUGGGGGAAGUGCCUAACAACUUUUGAUCCCGAGAUUUCCGAAUGGGGCAACCCGAUUGCGGUGAACCGCAAUCGAUCAACGCUUAAGCGUUGAUCGCGUACCCGGUGAAGUGAAACAUCUCAGUAACCGGAGGAAUAGAAACCAAUAUGGUAUACCCUAAGUAGCGGCGAGCGAAAUGGGUCCAGCCUAAACCGUAUAUCCCCUUAAAAGGGUGUGCGGGGUUUAUAGGGGGAAAGCGAUCUCUUGCUUUGCAUGUGUUCCCUUAAACAGGAAUGUAUGCAAAGUUUGAGGGGUUGGUUACAAAAUAAAUUUUUAGCUGAACGAUUUUGGAACAAACGGCCAAAGGAGGUGAAAGCCCUGUAAGCGAAAAAAAUUUAUCCAAUCUGCUUUCUUUCCUGAGUACCUCGGCGACAGAACGCGUUGAGGGAAUAUCCCAGUAUUGCCUGGGAAGGCUAAAUACUUUUCGUGAUCGAUAGAGGACAAGUACCGCGAGGGAAAGGUGAAAAGCAGUCCGGCGAGGACAGUGAAAUAGAACCUGAAACCUUUAGCUUACAUAGAGUUGGAGCCCUAAGUGCCGCAAGGCGCGGGGUGACAACGUGCCUAUUGAAGAAUGACCCGGCGAGUCUUUGUAUGUUCUUUGUCUAAGGGCAGUCAAGCCCGCAGGCACAGCGAAAGCAAACGUUAAUAGCGUGAAAUAAAAAGAGCAUGCGAAGGACCCGAAGCUGGACGAUCUUACCAUGACCAGGGUGAACCAGUCGUAAAAAGCUGGGAAGGCCCGAACCGGUAGGCGUGACAAAACCUUCGGAUGAGUUGUGGUAAGCAGUGAAAAGUUAAUCGUGUUCAGUAAUAGCUGGUUCUCCUCGAAAUAGUUUUAGGACUAGUGUCUGCUCGUGAAGUACGGGGGGUAGAGCACUGAUUGGUUGGUGCAGGGCUUGCCCAGCUAACCAUUCAACCUCCGAAUACCCGUUCUUUUAUGCAGGCAGUUAGUACUUGGGGGAUAAGCUCCAGGUACGAGAGGGAAACAACCCAGAUCACCUGCUAAGGUCCCUAAAUCUUGAUUAAGUGGGAAAGGCUGCUCUUUCUUUUAGACGGUUGGGAGGUUGGCUCAGAAGCAGCCACCCUUUAAAGAGUGCGUAACAGCUCACCAACGGAAAGGGAGGGUGCCGAAAAUGAAAGGGGCUAAAUCAAGUACCGAAGCAGUGAAUGCGCAAUAUCUUCGGAUGUUGUGCGUGGUAGAGGAGCAUUCCAUACUCGACUGAAGCGGGAUCCGCGAGGGCCCGUGGAGGGUAUGGAAGAGAGAAUGCCGGGAUGAGUAACCGCAAUUUCGUUGAAUAACACGAAACGCCGCAAGCCUAAGGUUUCCUUGGCAAUGUAAAUCAGCCAAGGGUUAGGCGGUCCUAAGGUGAUGGCAUAUGCCGCAGCCGAUGGACAGCUAGUUAAUAUUCUAGCCCCACAGUGCGUAAGCGAUGGAGUGACGGAGGAAAUGACCUUCUGGGUCUUAAUGGUUUGAUCUUGAUGCCGGUGAGAUUGGAUACUUUGGUAAAUCCGGGUAUCUGCGUUCAAUCGCAACUCUCGUGCCGGAGUCAGAACUUUAUCCCACGGGAUGAGGGACAGAAGAGAAGAGCCUUCCAAGAAAAACUUCUAAGCGUUGUAUACGCAUUGUGUCCGUACCGCAAAACCGACACAGGUAGGCGAGGCGAGUAGCCUCAGGCGAACGAGUGAAAUGUCUCUAAGGAACUCGGCACACAAGCGGGCGUAACUUUGGGAUAAGCCCUGUCGUGCCUAGCGCGAUCGCAGCGAAAGACUCCCUAGCGACUGUUUAUCAAAAACACAGCUCCCUGCUUAACUCCAAAAGAGGAAGUAUAGGGGGUGACACUUGACCAAUGCCGGAAGGUUAACGGCGGGAUGUGGUUGUGCGGCUUGCCGUAUGACUGCGUACCUGCUUAAGCCCCGGUCAAUGUCGGCCCUAACCCUGAGGGUCCUAAGGUAGCGCAAUUCCUUUUCGGGUAAGUUCCGAAGCGCAUCAAAAGUGUAACGACUGGGGAACUGUCUUAGAGACAUGCUCGGUGAAAAUUCAAUGCCCGUGAAAAUGCGGGCAACUGGUGGCGGGACGAAAAGACCCUAGGAGCUUUACUGUAGCUACUUAUUGUCUUUGGUUAAACUGUGCAUAGCGUAGUGAGGAGGAUUUGAAGGUGUGCUUUCGGGCGCGCUGGAUCCGACAAUGGAACACUCACCAUAUUUUGGUCAAAGACUAACUUCAUAGUGAACCUAUGGAAAACAGUGGGUGGUGGGCAGUUUUUCUGGGGCGGAACCCUCCUAAAGAGUAACGGAGGGGUUCAAAGGUUGGCUUAUCUUGGAUGGAAACCAAGAUCAACGUGUAAGGGCAUAAGCCAGCUUAACUGCGACACUGACAGGUGAAGCAGAAGCGAAAGCUGGACCUAGUGACCCGACGGUCCUUUGUAAGAAGGCCGGAGACAACGGAUAAAAGCUACCCUAGGGAUAACAGGCUAGUGAGAUCCGAGCGUCCCCAGCGACGAUCUCGCUCGGCACCUCGAUGUCGGCUUACCCUAGCUCGGGGCUGUAGAAGGUCCCAAGAGUCGGGCUGUUCGCCCGUUAAAAGGGUUCGUGAGCUGGGUUCAAACCGUCAAUUGGCGGCCUAUGAGAGUAAUCUCAUAUGGAAAAAACUGACUCAUAUCGAUGAAAUCCUAAUGACACUUGCAAGGCAACCUGUCGUGUGUUAGGAUAAUAUCGAGGGAAGUCGUACGUCCUCGCAAAACACCAAUGCGUCUAAAAGAAACCGAUAAAGCAUAUGUUG
rnacentral:rRNA from 1 species